rnacentral:rRNA from 1 species
AUUGAACGCUGGCGGCAGGCUUAACACAUGCAAGUCGAGCGGGGUGAUGGUGCUUGCACUAUCACCUAGCGGCGGACGGGUGAGUAAUGCUUAGGAAUCUGCCUAUUAGUGGGGGACAACAUUUCGAAAGGAAUGCUAAUACCGCAUACGUCCUACGAGAGAAAGCAGGGUAUCUUCGGACCUUGCGCUAAUAGAUGAGCCUAAGUCGGAUUAGCUAGUUGGUGGGGUAAAGGCCCACCAAGGCGACGAUCUGUAGCGGGUCUGAGAGGAUGAUCCGCCACACUGGGACUGAGACACGGCCCAGACUCCUACGGGAGGCAGCAGUGGGGAAUAUUUGACAAGGGGCGCAAGCCUGAUCCAGCCAUGCCGCGUGUGUGAAGAAGGCCUUAUGGUUGUAAAGCACUUUAAGCGAGGAGGAGGCUACUUUAGAUAAUACCUAGAGAUAGUGGACGUUACUCGCAGAAUAAGCACCGGCUAACUCUGUGCCAGCCGCCGCCGUAACAC